CAGUAGCCGCGGUAAUACGAAGGGGGCUAGCGUUGUUCGGAUUUACUGGGCGUAAGGGGUGCGUAGGCGGAUUCUUAAGUCAGGGGUGAAAUCCCGAGGCUCAACCUCGGAACUGCCUUUGAUACUGGGGAUCUUGAGUCCGGAAGAGGUGAGUGGAACUGCGAGUGUAGAGGUGAAAUUCGUAGAUAUUCGCAAGAACACCGGUGGCGAAGGCGGCUCACUGGUCCGGAACUGACGCUGAGGCACGACAGCGUGGGGAGCAAACAGGAUUAGAUACCCCCGUAGUCCCUGUCUCUUAUAC
rnacentral:rRNA from 1 species